AUGAGGCGGGAUGAUGUUUAUCCAUCAAUUCUGUAUUAGAUGAUGAAUACAAACAUGCACUACCAUCUGAUCUCUA
rfam:Vitis vinifera, whole genome shotgun sequence of line PN40024, unoriented chromosome 10, chr10